rfam:Camelus ferus unplaced genomic scaffold scaffold4111, whole genome shotgun sequence.
GAGGGUAUAGCUCAGUGGUAGAGCGUGUGCUUAGCAUGCAUGAGGUCCUGGGUUCAAUCCCCAGUACCUCCA